UAUUCCUUGGAGAUAACGUAAGCCGACGAAGUUAAGCAACAACCGAUUAGGCCUUGCGAUUAUCAGCAACUGUGAAAAAAGAAGUGAGCCGGACAGUGAGCAAUUAAUCCGGAUGGCGAAUGCAUUGAAUGACAGAUCGGAAUCAACGUUCGGAUGUCAGCAACUAAACGGCACGUUCCAGUCCAUCGUUACGCUAUCGCACUACUGUCAAUAUAGAGACACAUCUGAAGCAGAAAAGCGGAUCUGGCGCGUGAAAAUGUUUUUGCGGCGAUUUAAAUGGGUGUUUUUUUUUUAAAUGCGGACAUACGCAGGACGAGUUACGUUUUUGUGCCUUUUUGCAAUGCGACUCCGCGUUAGCAAAGACACAAAUGUUUUUUUAUCAAAUUCGGCAACAAGUGGCGAAUAUGAGAGUCGACGCGAGUGAAAUUAUAUCCAAACGCCGACUGACGCGGAAACCAUAAUCUUCACGAAAAAGAGAGUGCGCAAUCGUUUCGCCAUCUGCGCCAUUAGCUCUUUUCUUUGGAGGAAAGCUCUUCCGAUAAUAUGACCGACUUUUUACUGAAUGAUGCGAGAUUCUAUUGACUGCCCCGACAGAUUUAACGCGCAUUCAUCAUUCCAGCUAGUGACACGCAACUCUCCCCAACAUAAUGGUCUCUCGCUUGAGAUAUUUGAAAGCUGCUCGUCCCAAAUAGAUUUUCUACGGAUAAAAGCGAUCGAGCGGCGCAUCUUUCCUAUUUCGGCUGAAAAUAGCGUUGGUCGCGUAUAAACGUUAUUGAUUACGAAGGUACAAUGCAAUUUAAUGUAUUACUUGCAAACUGUACUUUUACUGGCAAGCGACAUCCGUAGAAAUGUAUGAGCUCGAAUAAUACAUAAAUCUACCAUGCGAAAGUCAGUUCACUUUCUAAUAAAUAUUUAAUUGACAAGAGAAAUUGAGCUUUGCACAAUUUUGAUGUAAUGAAUUAUGAAAAAUAUUACAUCAGUCGACAAGAAUUCAGUUCGUUUUUUGUAUCAAAUUUUAUUUUAUUGAUUUCAGUAAAAACAAAUUAUUCAUUAAGCAAAUCACCAUCUACUACAAUCAAACAUUGUUGUCUAUGAUAUAGACAUGAACAUCAACAUCAUUGCCUGUACUGCAUUGCAUGUAAAUUGAUUUCAAAAAUUGAAGAUUGAGCCGAACUGUUUGACUGACUCAAUAAAAGACUCAUGGUGUGCUUGAGAUGAUAACUAUGUCUAUACAUAUAAACAACCGAAUAAUUUCAUUAUAUAAUGGUCAUUAUAUUGAAAUAUUAACAAGUAAGUGAUCAUUUGUGAACACAUGUGUCUGCAAGCAAUGUUGGUAAUGUAUAAUUAUAACUUAUGCAAAGCUUAUGGUCGCCAUAAGCUCCAUGAAUGUAAUCAGAGUUAUAGAUAAAUCCGCUUUGCGCGGCAGCGACAAUAAAUUUGCGAAAUCCACGUACAGCCGUAUUGCGCGGAUUCUGCGAUAAGAUACAGCGAAAUGCGUAGGGGAAAUUUGGCCUGCGGACGUACCCACUAAUCCUUCCGCGGUAAUCGACAAUUUCCGCCCCUAAAUUGUCCCACCACCGUGGGACUGCAUAGUUAAGGGGUUCCUACGAAAUUAAUCUUAGAUCGGACCGUCGGCGCUUUUGUUCUUCGACAGCGGUUGCAGAGAAAUAAUUAUCUUGAUUACCAACAAACUGCUGAUCCUUUCUACAGAAGAAUAUUAUUAAUGUUCAACUUCUGCCAAACCUGUAUCUGAUGUAUCUUAGGUCUAUCUUUAAGACAUUUCUUAUUAAAAUGUCUCAUGAGAAAUGUCUCAUCUAGAAAUUCUACCGCAUGUAUUUUCAAAAUUACAUUAACUUAUAUAUAAACGUUUGUAAUAUUAUAUUUUAAUAAACUAUUUGGUCUGAUUUAAUUUUUAUAAAUACAGAUUUUCGUGCAUUUGGAUGUACAUACGGGCAUAUACAAGUAUACGUAAUCCAUAUGUUUCUGUCUAUGUUUUAUAUGUAACUAUGAUUUUCCCGAGAUCGCGCAUCUGCUGCUAAUGAAACGCCUUAGGCCAAUAGGAAAUGGCGUCUCGGUAAAUACUAAUAAGCACUCGCUUAUGCGUACGCAUGUAUUACCCUAUAAGCACACAUGGUCUCUAUAAGAGACCAACACAUCUCCACAAUAAAGUUUACAUUUUCGAUCGAAAUAUACGGUAUCCAAUUUCAAUUUGAAGUUUACUUCGCUUGGCUCCGGCAUGGCCGAUGAAAUAUUUAAUCGAUGUAGAAUUCUCGAGAGGAAAGGUAAUUCUUCAUCAUCGAUUCAUUUCACUGCAAAUGAUGCUAAUUGAUAUAUAAUGGGAUUUGAGACGAGGUGCAAUAUCAGAAAUCCGUUCUCUGCAAAUCCGUAUCUGCGCGUUUAUGUAUACAUCACAUUUAACAAAAGUAUUUCGAAUAUAAAUAGGCGAUUUACUCAGGCUUUGUUUAGUUUGCUCGAAUUAUGUUAACGACAUAUUUAAUCGAAAACUAGUUAUUCUAGAAUAGAUAGAUGUAAUAAGAUGAUAAUGCUCGUUGUUAUUGUUACAAGUUAAUUUUCACAUGUAACAACGUAACCGUCAUUAAUUGUAGAGAUCCCAAUAUUUAGUUGUGCUUUUAGAAUAUACAUUAAACUUUCUUUGUGUCAAAUUUUGUCACAUGCGGAUAAUAUUUUAUUUCUAUAAUAUGUAUUGAUCUGUAUAGUUCCCUAUUAAAUCCAAUUUAUAGAUAUGAGUUGUCGCACAUAAAAAAGACCACAUACAAAAAGAAAGCUAAUGCGGGGUUUGUUAGUCUCCCAUCAGGCAUCUCUCCCCAGGUAGCAGAUUGGGGAAUAUUCCAAAUAUGAUGGGUAUCGGGAAAAUAUAAUAAAAUACUCUAGCUGGACUAAAACUAGCAUAGGACACGUCCAUGUUAUGCCAUAUAAGGAGCGGUACUCCGACAACGACUUUGAUCUUCAUAUUAAAUAAUAUAAGAUUGGUACCAACACUCUAUUCCAUAGAAUUGUCAAUAAAGUACAAAUAGCAAUGAUGGUAGUUGACGUUCCGAGAAAAUAGGACACACGAUGAUAAUGUUUAAUCCGUCGUGUAUUAUCAAUAUAAUGAAGCUUUUUCCAUACGCGUCACGUAAUAAAAUCAAGAUAUUAUUAUUUAUUUAUUAUUACAUCCAAUUCAAUAGAAAGGAUUAAGGAAACGAGCGAACACCAACGCAUCGUUACAGAGAUACUCAUCUAAAGCAAUCAGCUGGAUGUUGAUUUUGCGCUGGAAAUUCCUCGAAAAUCCUCUUCUCCGACGUUACAAUGAACCUAUUCAGCAGUUUCCUUGACAAAAAUCUUUUAAAAAGUCAGGGAUCUGUAAAAUUGCCCCUUUCUUCGCGCAACCCAUUUUUACUCUAUCCGAUUGGAUACACCCACACUUGUUCCCUCGGAAAUUCAAUGGAGAGUAAAAUAUAUAUCGCACACCGAAAAUAGAAAGCGAACACUUGCUGUAUGACAUGAUUAUAAAUUUUAUGAGGCUAAUGGGAUCAUGAUGCGCAUGGCAUCUACAAAGGGGAUAUAAAAUGAAUAGAGACAAUUAUAAAGUUAAUAAACCGGCUAAAUUUAGACGUGCCUAUCAACUCAAAUAUUAGUUUUUAAGUUAAUCCAAUCUAAUUGAAAUCCACAGAAGGCGAAGCUCGUGAGCAUAGCUGAUGUAAUUUGCGUUUAAAGCAUUGGGCGAAUUGCACAGUGUCGAGUUUACCUUUAACCAUGAGUAAAUUUCGUAGGUAGUUAAUGUACAUUACAUGCAACGUCACCAAGGUAUACAAUAGCUGUGUUUCUACGUUGUACAUUCGAUAUUACCGUCGUCCAUUGUACCACGUCCAACUCUGUAGCCGUGAGUUUGAUGAAACCGUAGAGCAACAUGUUACUUCAUCAUCAGAAGUGUUUAUCUCUUCAUCUGACUUCAUCCGGCUGAAUCCGAGUUUGCCCCGCCAUGAAAGUUCAUGAUUGCGAUCACUACCAGAUCAGGACAAUCUCGAUUUAAUUAUCUUGCGGCGUCAAGGAAACCUUCAAGGAUAAACGAGGUCGUUUGGUCCCCUUUGGAGAUUUUUCUCGAUCCUACUGAUCCCAAGUGCUCUCUCCAAGACGGAAUAUGAUGAAAAAGCAAUAAUAGUUAAUCCAAAAGUUAAGCAAAAUAAAACGUACUUUAUACUCUUUCCUUUCCAAGUUCUUCAGUCCAAAAUUUUAUUUUGUACACAAGCGAACUUUGUUUAACAUUGUUCGAUUUGAUAUUGUUCAAAUUACUAUUAAAUCGUGUACGAAAAUAUAGAUAUAUGGAAAAGUGAGGUAUUAGCAAUCGACAUUGUAAAUAUCAUUUUGCAGAUUGUUUGCCGGCCAAGAGGAAGUUAUUAAUAGUUCUCCCUGUUCGUUUUCGACUAUCAAUAAAUGAUUUUCCAGCAGUGUCGAUGACCGCAAAAAGAAAAGCCGUGCUGCGCGGAGACACGUGGCAAUUUCGGAGUGACAACCGCACCAUUUUCGUUCUAGACACCUGUGCAAACGCGAGGUAGCUUAUACUCCCCACGUAGAAGUUGGCGGUUUUCGCACGUGCGAGCCGUUGUUUGCCGAAACAACAGGAAUGAUGACUAUUUAAGGGGACAACUAGUGGAAUCUGAUGCAUCGUGCGCUGGUAAAUUUUCGUAAUAUUGAGCCUCUUGACGCUCGCAAAAUAUUAGUCGAGAUUGUUUUCAAACGAUUCCAGACCCUCUGCCCUGGAAGACACUCGUCGCGCAGGAGUAAACACUCUAGAGUCCCGCGAACAAACGUUACGGAAACGGCACAAGACAAAGAACCGCGCUGUGCAAACACUCUUGCCUGUUUUCCCCUUGGAUGUUUUCUACCUGCAAGUCGAAAAAGGACAUCUCGGAAUAAGAGUGGUAAAUCGGUAAAAAGCUCUCCACUGUUGAAGGACUAUAUUAUCGUAUUAUCAACAAUACAAAUCGUAAUAAUAACAACAAAUAAUAGCUUCACAUAGUAGUAAGUAUAGUAUAGACAAAAAUAUUAGCAAAUCAGAAUAAUCAAAA